rnacentral:misc_RNA from 1 species
CGGCUGGAUCACCUCCUUUCUAAGGAAUAAUUACGGAACCUGUACAUUUAUYGRAUACUUUGUUUAGUUUUGAGAGGUCAUAUCUCUCAAGAUUUUGUUCUUUGAAAACUAGAUAUUGAUUUAUUUCUUAAAAAUAAACCGAGAACACCGCGUUUUAAAGAGUUUAAAACAAGAAUUAUAGUUCUUAAUCGCUAAACUCAUAACCUAUUAUCGUUAGAUAAUAUUAGGUUAAGUUAUUAAGGGCGUACGGUGGAUGCCUU